UUUUCUAUAUGAUGGCGUUCCAAAGCAGUAGUACACUAGUACAGUGAACUCUUCUGUUCAUUUUCUUUGCAACCACCACGAAAGCUUCGUUAUCAUCGGCAACUACAAGCAUGGUGAAAGCUAUCAGAGUUUACCACUUGGCGACCCUGAGGUUCUGAAGUGGGAGGAUGUGGAAAUCGGAGAGCCGUGUGAGGAACAAAGCUGUUGGGGUUAAUUUCAUUGAUGUCUACUUUCGCACUGGGGUUUAUAAAGUCCCCUCCUUACCUUACACUCCAGCCUCGAGGUUACAUGGUAAGUUUUGGGCAGUCAUCAGGUACACCUGAUUCAGUUCCAUUAUCAUCCCUGGCUACAAAGUCCUUGUUCACUUUAAAGCAUUAUAAUGUCACUCGGGAUGAGCUAUUGGAGGCUGCUUGAGAGGUGUUUGCCAAGGUUGCUUCUGGAGUCUUAAAGGUGUGGGCUAAUCGGACUUACCCAUUGUCUGAGGCAGCAAAAGCACAUGAAGACUUGGAGAAUCAGAAGACCAUGGGAUCUGUUGUGUUGCUACCCUAAGGAUAUCAAUUGUACAUAGGUCUUAAACACCAAGUCCAUGUUUGAUUCCUCUUGAGAGGAACUAUGGUUUGUGAUACUAUAACUAUUGUAUGCGGUAUGCCGCUGAAAAUCACAGGUCUUUGUUCUUAAAAAAAUUGGUUUUUUUAACAUCGUGCUCAUGAUAUUCAACCAUAUGACUUUGUGUUGGUUAAAUACUCUUCUCAUAGUCUUAUUUCCUA